rnacentral:rRNA from 1 species
CGGGGGGGGCAAGCGUUGUUCGGAAUUACUGGGCGUAAAGGGCUCGUAGGCGGCCACCUAAGUCAGACGUGAAAUCCCUCGGCUUAACCGGGGAACUGCGUCUGAUACUGGAUGGCUUGAGUUUGGGAGAGGGAUGCGGAAUUCCAGGUGUAGCGGUGAAAUGCGUAGAUAUCUGGAGGAACACCGGUGGCGAAGGCGGCAUCCUGGACCAACACUGACGCUGAGGAGCGAAAGCCAGGGGAGCAAACGGGAUUAGAUACCCCGGUAGUCCUGGCCCUAAACGAUGAAUGCUUGGUGUGACGGGUAUCGAUCCCUGUCGUGCCGAAGCUAACGCAUUAAGCAUUCCGCCUGGGGAGUACGGUCGCAAGGCUG